UGGCUCAGUGGUAAAGAAUCUGCCUGCAAUGCAGGAGACCCGGGUUCAAUCCCUGG
rnacentral:tRNA from 1 species